rnacentral:ncRNA from 1 species
AAUAAUAAAACAACUCAUAUAAACCCUGAAUAUGGCAGGGUGUUUCUACUGAAAACCUUAAAUUUUCAUCUAUGAGUGAAUUUAAUAU